AGUUUCUGAAGUGUGUUUGUAUAACUUAUCUUCUCCUGCUCCUUGCAGAUCUUCUCUGAUUCGCUUCAACAGCAGCACUCUCCCCGCCUUCUCUUCCUCCUCCCUCCUCCACCAUCAGAGCUCCAAGUCUUCAGAGAGUGACCUGUCUACGUCAACGCUCCCAAUCUCCUCCUCCACGCUCCCCAUCUCGUCCUCGUCCUCCCACACUCUGUCCAAACUGCCCCUCUCUCUGCCAGAGACCGGCCUGCUCCAAAACUCCACCAGCCCCAGUACCGCUAACAACCCCACCUCCUCCACACCUCCUGGGGCUCCUGUGCAACGCCCACCAAUGCCCCAGACUUCCCUCGCCCUGACUCCACCCAAAGACGUCCCACCCUGCGGCUUUAAUGGCUGUCCAGCCAAUCACCAAGCACCCUCCCCACCAUCCCAAAGAAACUCUGGGCUGGUGCUCCCCCUCGGGGCAGGGUCGCCCGGCUCAGCUCGGAGUGGGGAGCUUGUACCGGUGGCCCUCGGGCGAAGUGAGAGUGGGGGGCUUGGGUUCAGCGUAAUGGCCGGGGGGCAAGGAGGUCAGCUGGCAGUGGUGAGGCGGGUCUGGGAUCGAAGGCACUGCCCCUCGCUGCAGCCGGGGGACGCUAUAGUGAAGAUCAACGGGGCGGACGUACAGAGCCUCAGCUUCUCCCAGGUCCAGAGAGUCCUGCAAGAACACACCAACCAGGGAGAGGUGGUACUACUGGUCUACAGAGGAGGUCCGAUGUCUUCCCCAGUCGUCACCCCUAACCUCUACAAGCCCCUUCCCUCCCCACACGGCCUGGCCACCCCUUCUUCCUCCCACCCCUCGACUUCAGCCGACUUGCCUUCCCCGUCCACGUGUGCCUUGGUCCCCCCACUCAGCCAGGCUGGCGUGGUCCUGGAGAGUCCCCAGGAGGGGCACCUACCAGCAGCAGGGACCCACCAAGGUA
rnacentral:lncRNA from 1 species